rnacentral:rRNA from 1 species
CUACGGGAGGCAGCAGUCGGGAAUUUUGGGCAAUGGGCGAAAGCCUGACCCAGCAACGCCGCGUGAAGGAUGAAGUAUUUCGGUAUGUAAACUUCGAAAGAAUAGGAAGAAUAAAUGACGGUACUAUUUAUAAGCUCCGGCUAACUACGUGCCAGCAGCCGCGGUAAUACGUAGGGAGCAAGCGUUGUUCGGAUUUACUGGGCGUAAAGGGCGCGUAGGCGGCGCGGUAAGUCACUUGUGAAAUCUCUGAGCUUAACUCGGAACGGCCAAGUGAUACUGUCGCGCUAGAGUGCGGAAGGGGCAAUCGGAAUUCUUGGUAUAGCGGUGAAAUGCGUAGAUAUCAAGAGGAACACCUGAGGUGAAGACGGGUUGCUGGGCCGACACUGACGCUGAGGCGCGAAAGCCAGGGGAGCAAACGGGAUUAGAAACCCGGGUAGUCC